rnacentral:lncRNA from 1 species
UAAUUAAUUGUUUGUAUUUGUUUACUAAGAGUCUUAGUGCAUCAAAAACAUCUUCUGUUUUGCUUUAAAACACUGUGAAUAACUUUGGGAAUAAAAUAGAAAAUGUAGGCAUGAUUUGCUACUUUCCCAGAUUCAGCAACAACAAUUUGACGUGUUUUUAUUUCCCUUACAAGAACAUUCGCCAUCAAUGAAAUGGAUAGGCUGGGGAUAAAGUGAACAUAAGGGCAUUCUCUGUGAAGUAUUUGGUUAUGAUCAGACAUAAGCCAGUGGCCUCUUCUCUCUCUCUGCCCAGGUUUCAGAGAGGCAGGGCGUGCUCUUCUUGGUCUCUGUUUCCCUUCUAAUCAGGUGUUUCCACCUUGGUCUCCAGCUUCUAGUUAACCUUUACUUUCUAAUUUGGAACUUCUUUUUUAUGGCCCCCCACUUAAAUAGGUUAGGUUUUCCAUGCAUAUACUUUUGAGAGUCUUAGA